rnacentral:lncRNA from 1 species
UAGGGGUUGAGAUUCAUCUCGACUGACUGUGGGGCUUUUCGGACUGUACACAUCGGAGUCCUCCUUGACUGGGGGCUCUGUUAUAGUUUUAAUUAUGUGGAGGGUACGGAUAGUCUCACAUCGGUUAUGAUUCAAAGGAGACUCGCGCUUAUAAGGAGGAAAAAAUUCUUUUCACAUGGGACAUCUUUUAAAGAGUAAAACCGUGAGGCACAU